rnacentral:rRNA from 1 species
AAUGAACGCUGGCGGCAUGCCUUACACAUGCAAGUCGAACGGCAGCAUGACCUAGCUUGCUAGGUUGAUGGCGAGUGGCGCACGGGUGAGUAAUGCAUCGGAACGUGCCUUUUAGUGGGGGAUAACGUAGCGAAAGUUACGCUAAUACCGCAUAUUCUCUGAGGAGGAAAGCAGGGGGCCUUCGGGCCUUGCGCUAGAAGAGCGGCCGAUGUCGGAUUAGCUAGUUGGUGAGGUAAAGGCUCACCAAGGCAACGAUCCGUAGCGGGUCUGAGAGGAUGAUCCGCCACACUGGGACUGAGACACGGCCCAGACUCCUACGGGAGGCAGCUGUGGGGAAUUUUGGACAAUGGGCGCAAGCCUGAUCCAGCCAUGCCGCGUGAGUGAAGAAGGCCUUCGGGUUGUAAAGCUCUUUCGGCUGGGAAGAAAUCGCACUCUCUAAUACAGGGUGUGGAUGACGGUACCAGCAUAAGAAGCACCGGCUAACUACGUG